UGUUACUUUCGCUAGUUGGUUUUGGAUUACUAAAAUUUUUGAAAUUUAACGGAUUUGGCGGCAAGAUAGCCCGUUCAGAGGAACCUGCCCUAUAAACGAUGAGCCACGAGAGACUCUACUUCUUUUUGUAAUCAGUUUGUAUACCGCUGUUGUCAGUCAGUUUUAUUAGGAAACUUUCGUUAAUGAUAUAUGUUCAUUGACUUCAAGUAAAGGUGCAGCUAAUGAAGAAGUUAGAGGUGGGUUACAAUUUAAAGGUAAAUACGGUAGAUGAUAUGAAAAAUCAUCUUAAGGUGGAUUUGAUUGUAAAGUUCAAGCUAACUUGAUAUGAGCACUAACUUGUG
rnacentral:rRNA from 1 species